AGAGUUUGAUCAUGGCUCAGAACGAACGCUGGCGGCGUGCUUAACACAUGCAAGUCGAACGCGAAAGGGACUUCGGUCCCGAGUAGAGUGGCGCACGGGUGAGUAACGCGUAAGUAAUCUACCCCUGUAUCUGGAAUAACCCACCGAAAGGUGAGCUAAUACCGGAUACGUUUAUCUUGAUGCGAAUGAUGAUAAAGAAAGGUGGCCUCUUCAUGAAAGCUACCGUACAGGGACGAGCUUGCGUACCAUUAGCUGGUUGGUAGGGUAAUGGCCUACCAAGGCGACGAUGGUUAGCGGGUCUGAGAGGAUGAUCCGCCACACUGGAACUGAAACACGGACCAGACUCCUACGGGAGGCAGCAGUGAGGAAUAUUGCGCAAUGGGGGCAACCCUGACGCAGCGACGCCGCGUGGACGAUGAAGGCCCUUGGGUCGUAAAAUCCUGUCAGAUGGAAAGAAAUGUACAGGUGUUAAUAUCGCCUGUAUUUGACGGUACCAUCAAAGGAAGCACCGGCUAACUCCGUGCCAGCMGCCGCGGUAAUA
rnacentral:rRNA from 1 species